AUGGCAGAAUCAUUGCUUCUUCCUGUGGUACGAGGCGUGGCCAGCAAGGCCGCGAGCAUCCUCGUCCAGACCGUGACCCGCAUGUGUGGUGUUGACGAUGACCGCUGCAAAUUGGAGCGCCAGCUGCUGGCCGUCCAGUGCAAGCUGACCGACGCCGAGGUGAAGAGCGAAAACAACCAGUACGUCAAGAGGUGGAUGAAGGACUUCAGGACCGUCGCCUAUGAGGCUGACGACGUCCUCGACACCUUCCAGUAUGAGGCGCUGCGCUGCCAAGCCCAUACCGGCGUGUCCAGGACACACAAGGUACUCAGCCACUUCACGUCACACAGCCCGCUACUCUUCCGUCUUACUAUGAGUAGGAAGCUGAGAAACAUCCUCGAGAAGAUCAAUGAACUUGUCACAGAGAUGAACACUUUUGGCCUCCUGAACAGUGUGGAGCCGCCGCAGGUUCCUUGUCGGCAGACACACUCAGCACUGGAUGAAUAUGCGGAGAUCUUUGGAAGGGAUGAUGACAAGGAGGUGGUGGUGAAACUUUUGCUCGACCAGCAAGAUAAUCAGAAGUUGCAGGUGCUGCCAAUCUUUGGGAUGGGAGGUUUGGGCAAGACGACUCUUGCCAAGAUGGUGUACAACGACCACAGGGUCCAGCAACAUUUUCAUUUGAGCAUGUGGCACUGUGUCUCUGAAAACUUUGAAGCCAAGGUAACAUGCAACUUGCCAGACACCAUCGAGAUGUUGCGGGGGCGACUUCAGGAAGUCAUUGGGCAGAAAAGGUAUCUCCUUGUUCUUGAUGACGUAUGGAAUGAAGAGGAGAGGAAGUGGGAAGACGAUCUGAAGCCACUGCUCUGUUCUGUUGGUGGGACAGGAAGUGUUGUAGUUGUCACAUGUCGAAACCAGCAAGUGGCGUCCAUAAUGGGCACGCUAGGACCUCAUAAGCUAGCAUGUCUAAGCGAAGAUGAUUCAUGGGAACUGUUCUCGAAGAAAUCUUUUAGUAAUGGUGUAGAGGAGCGAGCAGAGUUGGUCGCCAUUGGCAAGCAUAUUGUUAAGAAAUGCAGGGGGCUUCCUCUUGCUCUGAAGACAAUGGGUGGUUUGAUGAGUUCCAAACAACUAGUGCAGGAAUGGGAGGCCAUAGAAAAAAGCAGUAUUGGGGAUAAUAUAAGAGGCAAAGAUGAGAUCCUACCCAUACUAAAAUUGAGCUACCGACACUUGACAGCCGAAAUGAAGCAAUGUUUUGCCUUCUGUGCUCUCUUUCCCAAGGACUUUGAGAUGGAAAAGGACACAUUGAUCCAGCUAUGGAUAGCAAAUGGUUUUAUUCAAGAAGAGGGCACAAUGGAUUUGACACAGAAGGGAGAAUCCAUUUUUCGUGAUCUGGUUUGGAGAUCCUUCCUCCAAGAUGUGAAGACAAAGAAACUUUAUUCCGUUGGCACAAGAUAUGAGGAAAUUGGAUGUAAAAUGCAUGAUUUAAUGCAUGACCUAGUGAAAGAUGUCACAGAUGAAUAUGCAACUAUAGAAGAGCUGAUUCAGCAAAAGGCAAUGAUAAAAGAUGUUCGUCACAUGACAACUGUAUAUGCAUGGUCUGAAGAGGAGCAUGUUAGUAGUGUGUUCAAAGACACCGUCUCUCUCCGCACUGUCUUUAAGCCUUUAAUACUACCCAAGAAUUUGAAGGAGUCAGGACUGGAAUCGUUAAGAGUCUUGUGUUGCGGGGAUCCUUCUAUUAUCCAUAAUCGGGUCAUAAAUGGAAAACAUUUGCGGUAUUUGGACCUUUCUAUGUCUGGCAUUAUUAGAAUGCCAAAUUCAAUAUGUUCGUUGUAUAACCUGCAAUCUUUGAGACUUAAUGGUUGCAGCCUUCUACAACAGUUACCAGAAGGCAUGAGUACUAUGCGGAAGCUUAUCCACCUUUAUCUUUUUGGAUGUGAUAGUUUGGAACGGAUGCCUCCAAAUAUUGGACUACUGCACAACCUUCAUACCCUAACAAAUUUUGUUGUGGAUAUUGAAGUUGGUUGUGGAAUCGAGGAGCUCAAAGAUCUGAGGCACCUUUCAAAUAGGUUAGAACUUUACAAUUUGAGAAAAGUAAAGAAUGAAAAUAAUGCUCAAGAAGCCAAUCUCCACCAGAAGCAGAAUAUAACUGAACUGUUGAUGCAUUGGGGGUGCGGGAAAUAUGACAUGCCUGAAGAUGAGGCUUGUAAUGAUGAACAAGUGUUGGAGGCUCUUAUACCUCACAGUAAGCUCCACGUUUUGGGGGUACAUGGAUAUGGUGGCCUAGAAAUAUCCCAAUGGAUGAGAGAGCCUGAGAUGUUCCGGUGCCUGAGAAAGCUUGAUAUGUCCAACUGCCCAAACUGCAAGAAUAUACCCAUAGUAUGGCUAUCAGACUCUCUUGAGUAUUUGUUGUUAUACAACAUGUGUAACCUGACCACAUUAUGUAAUAGUCUUGACAUGGAAGGUGGAGGAUACAGCACCCCUGUACGGAUUUUCCCGAAGUUGACGGAAAUGACUUUAGAUAAGUUACCCAACUUGGCGAUAUGGGUUGAGAAUAGUGUAACAGAGCCGAAUAGGUUGGUAAUGUUCCCAAUGCUCAUGGUGUUAAAAAUGAAGGAUUGCCCGAAACUUGCGAGUGUUCCUGAGAGCCCCGUCUUGAAAGAUCUGAACAUAGAAAACUGCUGCAGUCUUCCAGUGAGUUCGCUUGCACAUCUAAAAUCAUUGUGUGACCUCCAAUGUGAUGGAAAAGGUAUCAUGUGUACAAAUAUGCCUUUGGGCUCUUGGCCAUCUCUUGUCAGUUUAACUGUUCUCUCACUCGUGAACAUGAUGAUGGUCCCUCUAGAGGACCAGCAAACCCGGAGACAUGCGGAAACCCUUCGGUUUUUGAAGCUUCAUGGUCCCAACUGCUUCUUAACAACACCAGGAUUCUCAAAAUCGCAACUUGGCCUUUGGGAAUGCUUUUCUUUUGUGGAAGAAUUGUGGCUUAAUCAGUGCGAUGAUCUUGCCCGCUGGCCAACAGAGGAGCUCCAGAGCUUGCAACGCCUCCGCUCUCUGCAUAUUUGGUCUUGUGCCAACCUGGAGGGGAGGGGUUCAUCGUCUGACGAGACUUUGCCACUGUCUCAUCUGGAGAAGUUGGAUAUUCGCAAUUGUCGCACUUUAUUAGAGAUUCCCAAGUUGCCUGCAUCCCUGGAGGAAUUGCAGAUUACCCAGUGCAAGAACCUGGUGGCGCUGCCUUCAAACCUUGGAGAUCUAGCCAAGCUGAGGGUUCUCUAUGUGGAUCGCUGUUGUGGCCUUACAGAAUUACCUGGUGUGAUGAAUGGCUUCACUUCCCUCGAGCGAUUGCAAAUUCAUGGGGUGGAGGAAUUCCAGCAGGUUCCCGUUCAGUGGCUCCCAGCCAUCAAAUCCUUCAUAAUAAUGGGCUGCCCAGAGUUGCAAAGACGCUGCAGAGAAGGCGGGGAGUAUUUCCACUUGGUCUCCUCUAUCCCGGGUAAAUGCAUUCCAUCACCAGAACCCCAGCACGAAGAAACCGAAUCGAGCAUGAAGAAGUUUCUGAAGAGGCUCCUCCCUUCGUGUGCUGAUGGCUCACUCUAA
rnacentral:rRNA from 1 species